rnacentral:rRNA from 1 species
AAUGAACGUUGGCGGCGUGGAUUAGGCAUGCAAGUCGUACGGGUCGGUGUAGCAAUACAACGGCAAGUGGCGAAAGGGAGAGUAACACGUAGAUACCUACCCUCUGGUCGGGGAUACCGCGGCAUAACCGCAAGUAAUACCCGAUAAAAUCUCCGGUUCAAAGGUGUGAUUCCGCCGGAGGAGGGGUCUGCGUUCUAUCAGCUUGUUGGUGAGGUAAUGGCUCACCAAGGCUAAGACGGAUACGGGGUGUGAGAGCAUGCCCCCGCUCACUGGGACUGAGACACUGCCAAGACACCUACGGGUGGCUGCAGUCGAGAAUCUUCGGCAAUGGGCGCAAGCCUGACCGAGCGACGCCGCGUGCGGGAUGAAGGCCUUCGGGUUGUAAACCGCUGUCGAGGGGAAUGAAGUGUAGGUGGAUACUCCCAUCUAUUUGACAGAUCCCUGGAGGAAGCAUGGGCUAAGUUCGUGCCAGCAGCCGCCGUAAUAC